ACCUUUCACCACAUAGUUGCAUGAAAAUUCCUGUGGCAGCUAAUUUUUGUCCCAAAACAAUGUUUUGCAUGAGUCAUGCAACAAUCGCAAUGCAUUCAUGUCAACUCUUCAUGAUUUUCACGCAGCAUACACUCAUACAACUAAAUGUCACGUGAAAUUCAUGCUUGAAAAUUUGGAGGCGUGGCUUGCAGUCAGCUGCUUGUUGGUUUGCAUGAUAAUCAUGCAACACCCGCAUGGAAACUGGUAUGGAAAAAAUCCAUACACCUUUUCAAGCAACAUUGUGGUGAAAUUGUUAGUGUAAGUUGGUAUGGUUGGGAUGGUGCAUGAAAUUCCUGUCUGAAAAUUUCUAGCUGGGCGUGCAAGUCUCCAGCCGGUCAGUUUGCUGCUGAUUCUCAUCAAAUGAACAUCGUUUCGGUUUUUUUCUCGUAAAAUUUAGAACUCUAGUCGUUUCCCGAAUCUGCUUGCGGUAUUUUUUUUCGGAGUAAAAUAUUUGCGUAAAAUAGCCACUGAACCAGUAGUUCCAGCGCGCAACCAUCGGAGCCGGCCAACCGUAACCUGGAGCAGGACUCGGGCGAAGCCAAAAAGGUCCAGGUCACCAAGGUUACCAGGGAGCCAACGAUGCAGAGGAGUAGGCGACGAAGGCGUCGGUCCUGUACGACAACAGGUUUAGACACCCCGCGAGCAGCAAACGAUACGCCGGAACCAUGGGUGCGUCCUGAAUUUCCAGACAUGUCAAACGAGUUUAUUGUGUAGAGUGUUGUUGUGUUAUUCAGAUUGUCGUGCUAGUGUGAUUGUGUAUAAGUGAAUAAAAACAGCGAAAAUAAAAAUUUUAAAGAACUA